AUUGAACGCUGGCGGCAUGCCUAACACAUGCAAGUCGAACGAGUCGCGGACGGGUGUGUUAUGUCUGGGAAUCUGCCUCAUGGAGGGGGAUAGCUACUGGAAACUGUAGCUAAUACCGCAUACCAUCAGAUGUGCCCAGAUGGGAUUAUCUUGUUGGUGGGGUAACGGCUCACCACGGCGACGAUCCCUAGCUGGUCUGAGAGGAUUACCAGCCACACGGGGACUGAGACACGGUCCAGACUCCUACGGGAGGCAGCAGUGGGGAAUAUUGCACAAUGGGCGCAAGGCUGAUGCAGCCAUGCCGCGUGUAUGAAGAAGGCCUUCGGGUUGUAAAGUACUUUCAGCGGGGAGGCGUUACCCGCAGAAGAAGCACCGGCUAACUCCGUGCCAGCAGCCGCGGUAAUAC
rnacentral:rRNA from 1 species